ACAUUGGCUCCUUUAGGAGCCAACACAUUGAGUUUUCAAUAUGAAUU
rfam:Plasmopara halstedii genome assembly, contig: Scaffold_2547